UACGGAGGAGGCAAGCGUUAUCCGGAAUUAUUGGGCGUAAAGCGUCCGUAGAUGGUCGCUUCAAGUCUGCUGUCAAAGACCGGGGCUUAACCCCAGAAAAGCAGUGGAAACUGGACAGCUAGAGAGAGGUAGGGGUAGAGGGAAUUCCCAGUGUAGCGGUGAAAUGCGUAGAGAUUGGGAAGAACAUCAGUGGCGAAAGCGCUCUACUGGACCUUAUCUGACAUUGAGGGACGAAAGCUAGGGGAGCGAAUGGG
rnacentral:rRNA from 1 species